CUGUCUCGUGUCUGGAACCCUGUGCAGAUCCGACAAGAGACCGCCGCGGAGGGGGUACUGGUCCCAUGACUGCGGACACGCCCGCCAGCGCCAGGUGCGAUCCGGCGACAGGGUUUUCUAAGUGGACUUCCUCCAGGAGGGUGAGGAUGGAUGACGCAGCACUAAGAACGUACUAGAACCAGCUGUCACACGGCACACGGCUGGUGACUGGAGCUUCCCCGUCACUCACCUGGGAAGGAGCAGGUCAGGAACCCCCAGUCCUGCAGGUCCUCAGCGCAGGGCACGGCCCCUUGCUCCAGAUGGGAGAUGAGGGGUGGCUUAGGGCAGGCAAGGCCUGCUCGUGGAGAAGGGAAGUCAGUGUGCAUAGCAGAUCACCUCUGUCCCAACACCCGGCCUUGACCCUUCUGCUCACACUGCAGAGGAGAGUGUGAGCAGGGGGGAGAAAAGGGUGUACUCGGGGGGGUCUGCCAAGGUGUAAGCAAGCAUGUAGGGAUGACCUCAGAAAGGUCACGCUCAGAAGAGCAGAGGAGGAGACCCCAGGAAGCAGUCACUUGGUUGUAUUUUCCCCGUUGUGGCUGCGAGGCAAGAAUGAGGGCUCUGACUUUCACUGGGAGGCCCGGAGACGUCAAUAGACAGCAAGUAAAGAGUAAGGACAGGAAAAAGGACUAAGCCAAGCACGGGGUGUCCUCACCAGCCGACAGCAUGUUGCCAUAGUUCUCCAGCAUCACGUCAGUGUACAGGUGCCUCUGGGCGCGGGUCAGACACUGCCACUCUCCACUACUGAAGCACACGGCCACAUCCUCAAACGUCACCGCGUCCUGCAAGGAUACGCUCCCGCUGACCCGGAGGAAACCCCAGUCCCCAGGAAACAGACGCAGAAGAAAGGAUUCUCAGGAGGUUUCUAGAAAUGAAAGGUGGUUACUGUUCCACAUAUAUUUGGGGUUGCGGUGGAAGGGGGAAUAGGCUGUGCACAGCGAAAAUCAUGACCGGGAACAAUCCACGAAUGGUGUCAUCCAACAAAAUGUUCCUUGUGAGUGGAAUGCCUGGAUGGGGGGGGGGGGGUCAGGGAGCGAGUGAAAACGAGGCCGUAUUCAGGACGUGGUACUGUAUUUCCAGGAAGGAUGGAGGGGCCUCAGCUCGCCUGGGCCCCACUCACCGGUGUGGUAUUUGCUCCUGGCCGGUCUCCGUGGCUUCUGUCGUUGGCAAAGGCAGGAUGCUGAGGAGCCCGCAGGGCUGAGGGAAGAGAAAUGAGUCAACUUGGCAUGGUAUUGGCGAGACCCCAUGCUUUCCUCCUCUUCCCUAACGUGCAAGUCUCAGACCACACCUUCCCCUCAUUUCUCCAGCCUGUUUCCAGUUUGGGCAGCAGGCCGUGGCACACAGCCAUGCUGACGGUAAAUGCUUGCUCUCCCUCACCUACAACGUGGUUUUCUGUGGUCGCUCUUCAUCCUAGAAUAACCUCUCCUGUCCCCAAGCCCACAUCACUGACUCCUGGCUGGUUCGAUGACCUUCUUCCAGGAUCUGAGUGUUGAGGUCACUUCCUCCAGAAGGACUAGGGAUGGGGAUGGAUGGGGAUUGGCCCACAGCUUGUUCCUUUAGGUAACUUACUAGCUGGCCUACCUCGGGCCAUUUUCCCUUGUUCUUAUUAGAGAAGCAGCACGUGUCCCGACUCUGAGUCUCCCGUUAGCUCCUGGCACGGAGCCACUGUCCCCUCACCGUGCUGCAGUGCACGCAGCGUAUGCAGCAUGUGGUGUCCAGGUGUCUGGGGCAGCCCGUAGGGCACCUCGGCCCUCCACCUCGGCCGGCCCACAUAGCUGGCUAGGGAGCCCUAAUUCACUCCUCAGGGACCAGCUCCACCUUUCCUUAGCUUGUGUUUGCAGUGACUAACCUUUCUAGAAAGUUCUUCAACACAUCCCCAAUCCGAGUCUGAGCAGUCUCUUUCAGAAGAUACCAGGGAGAUUGGUCACCAACUGAUAAGACUCUAGGAUCACCCUGUGGACUUAGGUCCCCAAAAUUUCAUUCCAAUUUUACCAAAACUUCAAUUUAGGAGCAAACUGGUUUCUUCCCAGAGAAAUUUCCCAAGAACAUUGUUCUUUGGUUUAGACCUGGGCUGUGUCUCAGUCCUCAUGGGUCCUGCUCUCUUGUUCCAUGUCUCACCUACAAGCCCACGCAUUCUAUGACUGUUGGUCGCACAUGGUCUCACACCCAUUGGGCUCACAGCAGAGGCAGGUCUGCUCUGCAAGGAUCCUCAUGACAUCAAAAAUGUAACCUCCCAGCUUGGUUUUUUGUUCAAUCCACAUUUUAUUUAUUUUCUUCUUUUUUUUAAUGUUUAUUUUUGAGAGAGAGAGAGAUUGGACGUGAAUGGGGGAGGGGCGGAGAGGAUCUGAAGCAGGCUCUAGGCUCUGAGCUGUCAGCACAGAGUCCGACUUGGGGCUCAAACCCAUGACCUGUGAGAUCAUGACCUGAGCUGGAGUCAGACACUUAACCGACUGAGCCACCCAGGUGCCCCUCAAUCCACAUUUUAUUGUGAAUGUUUUCAAAUAUACAGAAAAGCUGAAAGAACUAUUUGGUAAACAUCCACAUACUCCCCACUCAUGUUCCACAAUUAAUGUUUGCAAUAAACCUCUGUCUAACUA